rnacentral:rRNA from 1 species
CUAGAGUUUGAUCCUGGCUCAGGAUGAACGCUGGCGGCGUGCUUAACACAUGCAAGUCGAGCGAAGCACUUUGAUCGGAUUUCUUCGGAAUGACGAUUGAUUUGACUGAGCGGCGGACGGGUGAGUAACGCGUGGGUAACCUGCCUCACACAGGGGGAUAACAGUUGGAAACGGCUGCUAAUACCGCAUAAGCGCACGGGGACGCAUGUUUCUGUGUGAAAAACUCCGGUGGUGUGAGAUGGACCCGCGUCUGAUUAGGUAGUUGGUGAGGUAACGGCUCACCAAGCCGACGAUCAGUAGCCGACCUGAGAGGGUGACCGGCCACAUUGGGACUGAGACACGGCCCAAACUCCUACGGGAGGCAGCAGUGGGGAAUAUUGCACAAUGGGGGAAACCCUGAUGCAGCGACGCCGCGUGAAGGAAGAAGUAUUUCGGUAUGUAAACUUCUAUCAGCAGGGAAGAAAAUGACGGUACCUGACUAAGAAGCCCCGGCUAACUACGUGCC